CGUUAGCGGCGGACGGGUGAGUAACACGUGGGUGACCUACCUAUAAGACUGGGAUAACUCCGGGAAACCGGGGCUAAUACCGGAUAAUACAUGAAACCGCAUGGUUUCAUGAUGAAAGACGGUUUUGCUGUCACUUAUAGAUGGACCCGCGGCGUAUUAGCUAGUUGGUAAGGUAACGGCUUACCAAGGCAACGAUACGUAGCCGACCUGAGAGGGUGAUCGGCCACACUGGAACUGAGACACGGUCCAGACUCCUACGGGAGGCAGCAGAC
rnacentral:rRNA from 1 species